UACGAGGGGUGCAAGUGUUGCUCGGAAUCACUGGGCGUAAAGGGUGCGUAGGCGGGUCUUUAAGUCAGGGGUGAAAUCCUGGAGCUCAACUCCAGAACUGCCUUUGAUACUGAAGAUCUUGAGUCCGGGAGAGGUGAGUGGAACUGCGAGUGUAGAGGUGAAAUUCGUAGAUAUUCGCAAGAACACCAGUGGCGAAGGCGGCUCACUGGUCCGGUACUGACGCUGAGGUGCGAAAGCGUGGGGAGCAAACAGG
rnacentral:rRNA from 1 species